rnacentral:piRNA from 1 species
CAGCAUUCAAAUCUAUGAGCUUAUGGG